ensembl:misc_RNA predicted gene, 25455
GGUUGUGAGGGCACCCUGGCUGGCACAUCUGUCACCUCAUGGAUUCAGCUGACCUAGCUGACUACACUGGUUUCUCCUUCCUCCCUCACCACACUUAGUGCAUCCCCCCUGAGGUUGCGUGCCUAGUCAAAGAGGACCAUCUUCCCCAACCAGAGGAGGACCUGCCUUCAGUCAAGGCUAUACCAGUAGCUGUGUUCCCCUGAUAGAAACUCUUAAGGAACGACUUAAGUGGGUCAAAUAAGAAUGAAAGAACUGAGGGUCUGCCUGCACCAAGAGACUGGACCAAACUAACCCAGCCUUGCUUUUGGAGAGGGUAAAGAUUGUU